CCUACGGGUGGCUGCAGUGGGGAAUAUUGGACAAUGGGCGAAAGCCUGAUCCAGCCAUGCCGCGUGUGUGAAGAAGGCCUUCGGGUUGUAAAGCACUUUCAGUGGGGAAGAAAGCCUUGGGGCUAAUACCCUCGAGGAAGGACAUCACCCACAGAAGAAGCACCGGCCAACUCCGUGCCAGCAGCCGCGGUAAUACGGAGGGUGCGAGCGUUAAUCGGAAUUACUGGGCGUAAAGCGCGCGUAGGCGGUCUGAUAAGCCGGUUGUGAAAGCCCCGGGCUCAACCUGGGAACGGCAUCCGGAACUGUCAGGCUAGAGUGCAGGAGAGGAAGGUAGAAUUCCCGGUGUAGCGGUGAAAUGCGUAGAGAUCGGGAGGAAUACCAGUGGCGAAGGCGGCCUUCUGGACUGACACUGACGCUGAGGUGCGAAAGCGUGGGUAGCAAACAGGAUUAGAUACCCUGGUAGUC
rnacentral:rRNA from 1 species